rnacentral:rRNA from 1 species
AGUGAACGCUGGCGGUAGGCCUAACACAUGCAAGUCGAACGGCAGCACAGUAAGAGCUUGCUCUUACGGGUGGCGAGUGGCGGACGGGUGAGGAAUACAUCGGAAUCUACUUUUUCGUGGGGGAUAACGUAGGGAAACUUACGCUAAUACCGCAUACGACCUACGGGUGAAAGCAGGGGAUCUUCGGACCUUGCGCGAUUCAAUGAGCCGCUGUCGGAUUAGCUAGUUGGCGGGGUAAAGGCCCACCAAGGCGACGAUCCGUAGCUGGUCUGAGAGGAUGAUCAGCCACACUGGAACUGAGACACGGUCCAGACUCCUACGGGAGGCAGCAGUGGGGAAUAUUGGACAAUGGGCGCAAGCCUGAUGCAGCCAUACCGCGUGAGUGAAGAAGGCCUUCGGGUUGUAAAGCCCUUUUGUUGGGAAAGAAAAGCAGCAGGUUAAUACCCCGCUGUUCUGACGGUACCCAAAGAAUAAGCACCGGCUAACUUCGUG